UAUUUUGUUACGCACCACAAAAAUAGCUUACCACUGGCUUGGCAUAGACACCGGAUUACUUGCCAUAAGUCCAUAGAGCGAUGUCGGUUCCAUUCUAGUUAACACCCCAGAAGCAGAAGAUAAGUUCUUAGUUCAUCUCUUCACCCCGCCGUCCGUUUUUUUUCCUCCGGAACCCUAACUACCCACCCAAGAGGAAAAUGUAGAUUAGAAGAAGAAGACAGUAUCGAACAAAAGAGGAGAUCGGAGAAGAAGAAAUAUCAAAUUAAAGUAAGUUUCAAAUCCCUUUUCAUCUUUGAUUUUUUUUCCUCUCUCUUAAGCUUAAGAAUCGAUGAUUGUAAAGAUUUUGGUUUCAUAAUUUGGUUCUGCAACUGGUCUGUUGAUUUGAUAAGAGUAUGACAUAUGGAUUUCCUUUAUUGUAAUAAUAUUUCUUUCCAAACUUCGAUCAUGAAAUUGUCCUGUUCCUUAGUAGGUUUUAUAGGUUUAUGUCAUCAGAUUGAUUAGUUCUUUGUUAAUAUGGUCAUGUGUUGUUUCUUCUCUCUGAGUAUAAGAUUGAUCUGGUGAGUAUUUAUCCUAGACGUAUUUCGAUACAAUUAUCUAGUAUAUGCGGUUUGAGCUUAAUCUCCACUACUUGGAAUCCUACUGCUUGCCGUCUGUUUGCUAAGACAGGCCAAAACUCAAAAUUGUGGGUGUUGGGGGAAGGUGAAAAGGAACGUGCCUCAAAGGUCUUGAAAAUUGCUUAA